GAUGAACGCUGGCGGCGUGCCUAAUACAUGCAAGUCGAGCGAACAGACGAGGAGCUUGCUCCUCUGACGUUAGCGGCGGACGGGUGAGUAACACGUGGAUAACCUACCUAUAAGACUGGGAUAACUUCGGGAAACCGGAGCUAAUACCGGAUAAUAUAUUGAACCGCAUGUUCAAUAGUGAAAGACGGUUUUGCUGUCACUUAUAGAUGGAUCCGCGCCGCAUUAGCUAGUUGGUAAGGUAACGGCUUACCAAGGCAACGAUGCGUAGCCGACCUGAGAGGGUGAUCGGCCACACUGGAACUGAGACACGGUCCAGACUCCUACGGGAGGCAGCAGUAGGGAAUCUUCCGCAAUGGGCGAAAGCCUGACGGAGCAACGCCGCGUGAGUGAUGAAGGUCUUCGGAUCGUAAAACUCUGUUAUUAGGGAAGAACAAAUGUGUAAGUAACUAUGCACGUCUUGACGGUACCUAAUCAGAAAGCCACGGCUAACUACGUG
rnacentral:rRNA from 1 species